AGCAGCCGCGGUAAUUCCAGCUCCAAUAGCGUAUAUUAAAGUUGUUGCAGUUAAAAAGCUCGUAGUUGAAUUUCGAGAUCAAAUUGUUGGUCGUGCCUCGGUACGCACUGGCAUUAUUGAUUUCUCCCUUCUGAAGAACCACGAUGUCAUUAAUUUGGUGUCGUGGGGAAUCAGGACUGUUACUUUGAAAAAAUUAGAGUGUUUAAAGCAGGCUCACGCUUGAAUACAUUAGCAUGGAAUAAUGAAAUAGGACGUUUGAUUCUAUUUUGUUGGUUUCUAGGAUCGACGUAAUGAUUAAUAGGGAUAGUUGGGGGCAUUAGUAUUCAAUUGUCAGAGGUGAAAUUCUUGGAUUUAUUGAAGACUAACUACUGCGAAAGCAUUUGCCAAGGAUGUUUUCAUUAAUCAAGAACGAAAGUUAGGGGAUCGAAGACGAUCAGAUACCGUCGUAGUCUUAACCAUAAACUAUGCCGACUAGGGAUCGGAU
rnacentral:rRNA from 1 species